GUCGGGAUAGCUCAGUUGGUAGAGCAGAGGACUGAAAUU
rnacentral:tRNA from 4 species